rnacentral:rRNA from 1 species
AGUCACUGACAUUAGAUACCCCUGUAGUCCCAGCCGUAAACAAUGUGCGUUAGGUGUGUCGGUAACCACGCGUUACUGAUGCGCCGAAGAGAAAUCGUGAAACGCACCACCUGGGAAGUACGGUCGCAAGGCUGAAACUUAAAGGAAUUGGCGGGGAGCACCACAACAGGUGGAGCCUGCGGUUUAAUUGGAUUCAACGCCGGACAUCUCACCGGAUAAGACAGCCGAAUGAUUGUCAAUCUGAAGGUUUUACAUGACUAGCUG